GAACCGCCAAUAAUUGUGCCUCCUUGAAUUCAAUAUUCAUUCCAACAAGAAGAUAAAACCAAAUUGCAGCAAGUCAUAGAAGUUCCCUUUUCAUUUUCAUUUCUUGCCAGACUAUUAUCUUACUUUAUUUUAACUCUUUCUUCAACUUUAUUACUUCUAACUAUUUACACCUGUGAUAGAAAAAAAGUGGGAAAUAAGUCCUCUGAUGAGAUAUUGCCACUAUGUGUUAAGAGCUUUGACAGCAGAGAGACUAAAGCAAGUGGCCUGGGAGUGGAAAUAUCUUGAAAGCAGCAAAGACAAAUCCCAAAAGAGACCACAUUCAGAGCCAAACUCCACUGAGUUUGGAAGGAAAGCAGAAGCUCUCGUCGUCAGAAAGUUUGAAGAAUCACCUGAAUUAAUUCGAAUGAAAAUCUCAUGAGAUCCCUUC
rnacentral:lncRNA from 1 species